rnacentral:rRNA from 1 species
GACGAACGCUGGCGGCGUGCCUAACACAUGCAAGUCGAGCGGAGUCGAUCGACGGAAGCCUUCGGGCGGAAGAUGGUUGACUUAGCGGCGGAUGGGUGAGUAACGCGUGGGCAACCUGCCUCGAAGACCGGGAUAACAGCCCGAAAGGGCUGCUAAUACCGGAUGUGGUCAAGGAUCCGCAUGGAUUUUUGAUUAAAGGGGAAACCCGUUUCGAGAUGGGCCCGCGUCCUAUCAGCUAGUUGGUGAGGUAAAAGCUCACCAAGGCGACGACGGGUAGCCGGCCUGAGAGGGUGACCGGCCACACUGGAACUGAGACACGGUCCAGACUCCUACGGGGGCAGCAGUGGGGAAUCUUCCACAAUGGGCGAAAGCCUGAUGGAGCGACGCCGCGUGAGCGAAGAAGGCCUUCGGUUGUAAAGCUCUGUCUGGAGGGACGAAGGAAGGUGACGGUACCGUCCGGACGGAAGCCACGGCGUAACUACGUG